rnacentral:lncRNA from 1 species
CAUUCAUUCGCGCGCCUAGCUGGCUCUGUGCUCCAGACGCCGCGGGCAGCCGGGGCCGCUGCGCACCCGCUAAAGAGCGCGCCCGCUGGGAAGUGGCGCGGGCCUUCCUCCCGCAUCCCGGGUCUCAGCGAGACAGACGCGGGGUGGAAUGGCGAUGAACCAGAGCUGGUCUCUGCUCUCUCAACGCUCGGCUAUCUCUCGCCCGUCCCCUGCCCCCGCGUGGCCCUGGUCUGUCUCUCCACCCACACCUAACCCACCGCCGAGCGGACCUGAGUCACCAGCGAAGACGCGCGACCCCUGGCCUUGGCCCGAGUCGCCUAGCUGCAGUUCCCGGCAGCGCUGAGAACUGAGCUCUGGCGCAGGGUUCAACCUGUGUUCAGAGAGUCCUUCGGAGGGGGCAAGGCUAGCGAGUAGGCAGUCUUGACUUUGCACCGGAAUCCUUCUCGGAGACCCAGGAUUCCAUCCGCCUCGGUGGCCCGAGGGGGUGGGGAGUUGGAAGCUGAUGCACUUGACACUCUGGAGAGCGAGGUGAAGCUGCGCUGCGGUACAACCAAUGCAAGCACAGGGAUGCGAUCGCUGGACAUCUUUCAUUACCCUGGGGCUCCUAGCUUUCUCUUAGUUCCUAUCCACACCGGCAUCGCGGCUCCCUGAACUGUCCUGAGGCGUCAUCACCGUUCCGUGAGAGUGAAGGGAGGCCAUAGAGGCCAGGCCACAGGGUUCGAUUAGUGGACAGAACCCUGUCUAAGAGCCCUCUGACACUUUUCUGACAAAGUGCAAAAUAAGGUGGUGAGAGACAGGAUAGACAUCAUUGAGAUUCUGAUUCUGCGGAGGCCCUGAAGUCGAUGAGAGGUGAGAAGCAGGUGUGAAUAAUUCAGGCUCCAGGCAGAAGACAAGGCGGGCUAGGGCCUGUCAGGCAAAGGAAGACACACACUCGGAGCUCUGAGAUACCAAAGUAGAUGCUGCGGAGGAAGAAAUAAUUUAUUGCAAACUGGUCUUCAGUAACGAACUACAGAAAUGAUUCCUGAAAGUAUAGUCUUGCAAAGUGGUCUUUAGGAAGGCUUCCCAGAGAAAGUGGAUAAAUCUGGAGAAUAGGAGGGUAAUCCCAAAAAGGAAGAGAAGAAUAAGGAAAGGGCAGGGACAGCCAAGGCCCUCAGGAUAAUAUCUCAUGAGAGCAUGCUGGAUACUGGCAAAGACCUGGUGUGAGUUGAGACUGGCCAGACUGGGCAAGUCUAGAUACUGGAGGAUCUUAAAUGCCAGGAGCAGAGUGGACAGGGUGGUGCUUUUUGGAUGAUGUCAGGUAGGUUGACUCUUCGGAAAAUCCAAGACAGGUCAGGCUUGCGAAUGAAGCCAUCUGGGGAAUAAGGUAAAUAUUGAGAUCAUAGCAGCAUGUCCUGCCUCCCAUAUCAGCAUCAGCUUCCGUAUCAGCAUCAGCAUCACCCAGAGACACACAAGUGAAAUGAGAGGGUGUUUGUCAGUAGUUCCAGAAACCUAAGACAAGCUUGAUAUAUUUCUACUGAAGUGAAAAAGAAAAUGACCAGUGUUUUGUUUAGAGGAGAAAGAAGAGGAGGAGGAGACGCUGGAAUGUAUCGGAGUUUCCACUAGCAUUACCACUUACUCCUCUGGACUCACAGGACGAAGGGACAGAGAAGGCUGCCCCUGCACCAGUACCACCACAGAAGCCUUUCUAGGAUGACCAGUCCUCCCUCAGAUGUCAAAGACAGUACUGAGUGAGCUGAACAGAAUGUCACCACCAAGGGUUCACAAGGAUCUUGGAGCCCUCUCUGACUAUGCAUCUGUCUGGUGUGUCAGAAGACAGCUAUAGUGUACUUACUUAUAAUAAUAAAUCUUUUUUUAAAAAAAGUUAGAGAAAGAAUGACCUCCAUUCUGGUGCUCAACUCAUGGAACAAUAAAACAGCUGUGAAAUGAGCCAGCUGUUGCAUUGGGAUUAAUUUGGAUGCAGAGGUUUUGAGCUAAUUAGAAAUGUGUCAAAAUAUUCUUUAGUGACAGCAAAGGAUGCAUUUUAAAAAGAAAUGCAUUAAUAAAGCCAGUAAUCAGUAGAACCAGUCCUAGAGACAAAGUCCUUCUUAAAACCCCCCAUCAUCCUAACUCUACCUUCUCCUUUGCCUCUUUCCCACAGCCUGUAGAGAACUAAGUGACCAAGAUUCUUACAGGAGACCACAUGGCCCAUCAGAAUGCCCAACCAGGAGCUUUCUGUAAUGUAUUGUGCGUUUCUAGUACAGUGCUGACACUCUCAACAUAUGUACUAAAUAUCUAGAUUUGGUAAUUGAGCAAAUAAAAGAAUAGGGACAGUCUGGCUAGCCACGUGCCACCAUUUUCUAUCUCAUAACAAUGUCAAGUAGCCUUUUGAGAUGGUGUAUCCAGUGUCUUCUUUCCUGUUGUGGUAGCAUUUCUAGACUCUUCCUUUCUUCCUUGAGUACUUACCAUGCCAGUCCUAGAGAAUACAAAAGUGAAUAAAAUUUGGUUCUAGCCCCUGAGAGGCCCCUGAAUGAACAGCAGGAAAAGGCACAUAAUCAUAAGAUGAUACGGAUCGAUAAAAGCACAGAGGAGCACCGUCACUAUCCUGAAGUCGUUUGGGAGCUGAGCCUUGGAUGGCAGACUUGCUGUGUCUGGGAGCACAGGAAAUGGAAGAUGAUGAUAAUGCGGGAGGUGUGUAACACCAGACCCAUGCUGCCUGAGAAUUCAGCAUUCAGAGAAAGUGAGGGUUUUACAAGCCAGUGUUUACAGUUGUGCAUGUCCUCUCUCACUGGAGCCACCUCCAAAGCCAUCAGAAGGCUCAUCAGUCUGGUUUGGAUGCUGAAAUUGCUCACAGUGUCUGGAGCUGAUGCCAGAGCAAAAAAAGACUUUUAAAAAGCAUCAUCCCGUUUUAUCAGCAUAUAAGUAGUUAUAAACCGUGGGGUGUCUCCUCAGGGUAGGUGGUGAUAAACAGCUAGCUGGGCUGGCUGUCGGGACUCGGGGCAUGAAGCUCAGAAGCAGCAGCCGCAGCUAUUUCUAUUCAUGUCUUCUCAUCACUCUCGGCAUCACUGCCCUGUGUCCAUUCUCAGGCUGUCCUUAGUCCACAUGGACACUUCUCUCUCAUCCCCAACAAGAAAAUGCCCGCCUCUGCUUCCCACACCCACAGGCUGUAGUUCUUAGUGGAGGUGCUAUGCCUCUGCAUGGCCCCAGAUCUCAGCCUGCAGUCCAACAAAAGAGGCAGACAAGAGUCUGUUGUUGUUGUAGUUGUUGUCUCUGUCCCCUCCAAGUGCCUGUGUGUAUGGAUAUAUGUGCAGAAAUAUAUGCGGUCUGUUUACUAAAAUUGGACUUCAUACCUUUUCUUAAAUAACUGAUUUCUUUCCUGUAAUUACUAGUUAUUAGUAACACACAAUUGUUCACUAGAGAAAAAAAUAAAAUCUGUAUCUAAUUGGUUCCCGGAGAACAGGAGCCCAGUGAUGGGACUGGACCCCU